rnacentral:rRNA from 1 species
CUUGGUCAUUUAGAGGAAGUAAAAGUCGUAACAAGGUUUCCGUAGGUGAACCUGCGGAAGGAUCAUUAAAUAAUUUAGAUGGCCUUUGCUAGUUUUCUAGCGAAUGGUUCAUUCUUUUUUACUGUGAACUGUUUUAAUUUUUCAGCGUCUGAGGAAUGUCUUUUAGCCAUAGGGAUAGGCUACUAGAAUGUUAACCGAGCUGAAAGUCAGGCUUAGGCCUGGUAUCCUAUUAAUUAUUUACCAAAAGAAUUCAGUAUUAUAAUUGUAACAUAAGCGUAAAAAACUUAUAAAACAACUUUUAACAACGGAUCUCUUGGUUCUCGCAUCGAUGAAGAACGUAGCAAAGUGCGAUAACUAGUGUGAAUUGCAUAUUCAGUGAAUCAUCGAGUCUUUGAACGCAACUUGCGCUCAAUGGUAUUCCAUUGAGCACGCCUGUUUCAGUAUCAAAAACACCCCACAUUCAUAAUUUUGUUGUGAAUGGAAUUGAGAGUUUCGGCUUUAUUGCUGAAUUCUUUAAAAUUAUUAGGCCUGAACUAUUGUUCUUUCUGCCUGAACAUUUUUUUAAUAUAAAGGAAUGCUCUAGUAAAAAGACUAUCUCUGGGGCCUCCCAAAUAAAUCAUUCUUAAAUUUGAUCUGAAAUCAGGCGGGAUUACCCGCUGAACUUAAGCAUAUCAAUAAGCGGAGGA